rnacentral:rRNA from 1 species
UACACGCUGUGACUAGCAUAUCAAUAAGCGGAGGAAAAGAAACUAACAAGGAUUCCCCUAGUAACGGCGAGUGAAGCGGGAAGAGCUCAAAUUUGAAAUCUUAAAGGGUUUCCCUUUACGAAUUGUAGUUUAAAGAAGUGUUUUCUGUUGAGGUUUUGGUAAAAGUUCUUUGGAAUAGGACAUCAUAGAGGGUGAGAAUCCCGUAUUUGACCUUUACUUUCAACUUUGUGAUACACUUUCAAAGAGUCGGAUUGUUUGGGAAUGCAGUCCAAAAUGGGUGGUAAAUUUCAUCUAAAGCUAAAUAUUGGCGAGAGACCGAUAGCGAACAAGUACCGUGAGGGAAAGAUGAAAAGAACUUUGAAAAGAGAGUUAAACAGUACGUGAAAUUGUCAAAAGGGAAGCGUUUCGACACCAGUGUUGUUUUUCUGAAAAUCAAUUAAAGAACUGUUUAUGCUAAGCUGUUUAGACUUUAUCAGCUAUCUGUUUAGUUUUGAGCUUUUCUUUAAUGCACUUUUCAGUUAACAAGUCAACAUCAAUUUCUUUUGCUGUAAAAAAGCUUGAGGAAGGUGGCUUGAGAUUCGUCUUAAGUGUUUAUAGCCUCUUGCCUAUGCAGUCGGAGAGAUUGAGGUCUGCAGCGUAGAUCCUUCGGGGCUAAAUGCAUUUGUGCUAAGUUAUAACAUUUUAUAGACAACUUGUUGACUAUGAUUUGUCUUGUAGCUUACUCGCUUAUGUUAUUUUACCUACGCUUAGGAUGUUGACGCGCGUGUGUGCGUG